rnacentral:rRNA from 1 species
CCUACGGGAGGCAGCAGUGAGGAAUAUUGGUCAAUGGACGUAAGUCUGAACCAGCCAUGCCGCGUGCAGGAAGACGGCUCUAUGAGUUGUAAACUGCUUUUGUACGAGGGUAAACGCAGCUACGUGUAUCUGUCUGAAAGUAUCCUACGAAUAAGGAUCGGCCAACUCCGUGCCAGCAGCCGCCGUAAUUCGGAGGAUUCAAGCGUUUACCGGGAUUGUUGGGUUUAAAGGGUGCGUAGGCGGUCGGAGCAGUUCGAGGUGAAAUCCCGAGGCUCAACUUCGGAAUUGCCUCUGAAACUGUUCGGCUAGAGAGUAGUUGCGGUAUGCGGAAUGUAUGGUGUAGCGGUGAAAUGCAUAGAGAUCAUACAGAACACCGAUUGCGAAGGCAGCAUACCAGGGUACUUCUGACGCUGAGGCACGAAAGCGUGGGGAGCAAACAGGAUUAGAUACCCCAGUAGUC